rnacentral:sRNA from 1 species
UGUCAACGAACAGGAGGCAGAGCAUGGGACUUACAAAUUCUCUUAAUGCCUUGGCAGUCGGCGUGGCGUUUGCGUUUGUCGGAUUGAUGCUUUUCAUCUGACGAAGCGUUGGGGUUUAGGACGCCCGGCCGCAAGUUGAUCCUCAUAAGCCAUUAAAAAAGCGCAGGUUUUUCUACCUGCGCUUU